rnacentral:tRNA from 1 species
UCCCUGGUGGCUCAGAUGGUAAAGAAUCUGUCUGCAAUGCAGGAGACCCGGGUUCAAUCCCUGGGUUGGGAA